CGACCCUACGGGACGCAGCAGUGGGGAAUAUUGCACAAUGGGGGGAACCCUGAUGCAGCGACGCCGCGUGAGGGAAGAAGGUUUUUGGAUUGUAAACCUCUGUCCUUGGUAAAGAAGCAAGACGGUAGCCAAGGAGGAAGCCACGGCUAACUACGUGCCAGCAGCCGCGGUAAUACGUAGGUGGCAAGCGUUGUCCGGAAUUACUGGGUGUAAAGGGAGCGAAGGCGGUUAUGCAAGGUGAAUGUGAAGUCUAUCGGCU
rnacentral:rRNA from 1 species